AGUUGGUGGAGCGAUUUGUCUGGUUAAUUCCGAUAACGAACGAGACUCUGGCUUGCUAAAUAGUUACGCGACCUUCUCGGCCGGCGUUUAACUUCUUAGAGGGACUAGUGGCGUAUAGCCACACGAGAUUGAGCAAUAACAGGU
rnacentral:rRNA from 1 species